rnacentral:lncRNA from 1 species
UGGGGGAUGGCGCAGCGGAGAGGAGAGCACGGAGUAGCAGCGUAGAGGAGAAUCGCGGCGGAGAAGAGUAUGGACCAUGCAAAAUGGCUAAAAACUUAUAGUAAAAAUAAAUUACUGAAAAAUAUAGAAAGAUUUUCACAUGUGCCAGUAUAUUUUAUCGAUAUACUAGUAAAUUAAUGAUUAUCUAACUUCUAAAUAAAAAAGUUUUUACAUGUACUAGACCACUUUAUUGGUAUAUAGCUAUUCUAUUGUUCAGCGACGUAAAAAUUUAUAUUAAAGAAUUCUAUUGAUCAUAAUUGAGUGACAGGAUACAUUUAUUAAAAGAAGAGUGUAGAGCAAGGUUCUAAAAACCGAACCGGUCAUCGAACCACUUUAGCUACUGAUUCACUGGUUUAUUGGUCCAACCGGUUCAACUGAGGUUCAACUGAAAAAACCGUUUUAUAAUAAAAAAUAAAUUAUAAAUAACCACCAUAAAACAUAAAUAUAGUCUAUAUAAA